UACCAGCACCCCGAGUGGUCGGGACGAUUAUUGGGCCUAAAGCAUCCGUAGCCGGUCCUGCAAGUCCUCCGUUAAAUCCACCUGCUUAACAGAUGGGCUGCGGAGGAUACUACAAGGCUAGGAGGCGGAAGAGGCAAGCGGUACUCAGUGGGUAGGGGUAAAAUCCUCUGAUCCAUUGAAGACCACCAGUGGCGAAGGCGGCUUGCCAAUACGCGCUCGACGGUGAGGGAUGAAAGCUGGGGGAGCAAACCGG
rnacentral:rRNA from 1 species